UUGAAACAGAAGACCCACUUGUUGGGCUUCAACCUUUCAAAUUCAAACACACUGUGCACUGUUGAGGUGAACACCCCUGUCUCAUGUGGAUGGGGGUUACUAGCCUUACCCUUUCUUCAAAACACAAAGUCAACGAAUGUAUAACUACACAUAAUAACA
rnacentral:misc_RNA from 1 species